rnacentral:rRNA from 1 species
GGAUUAGAUACCCUGGUAGUCCACGCCGUAAACGAUGGAUACUAGCUGUUCGGAUUUAUCUGAGUGGCUAAGCGAAAGUGAUAAGUAUCCCACCUGGGGAGUACGUUCGCAAGAAUGAAACUCAAAGGAAUUGACGGGGGCCCGCACAAGCGGUGGAGCAUGUGGUUUAAUUCGAUGAUACGCGAGGAACCUUACCAGGGCUUAAAUGUAGAGUGACAGGCUGAGAGAUCGGCUUUUCUUCGGACACUCUACAAGGUGCUGCAUGGUUGUCGUCAGCUCGUGCCG